GAUGAACGCUGGCGGCGUGCCUAAUACAUGCAAGUCGAGCGAACAGGCGAGGAGCUUGCUCCUCUGACGUUAGCGGCGGACGGGUGAGUAACACGUGGAUAACCUACCUAUAAGACUGGGAUAACUUCGGGAAACCGGAGCUAAUACCGGAUAAUAUAUUGAACCGCAUGGUUCAAUAGUGAAAGACGGUUUUGCUGUCACUUAUAGAUGGAUCCGCGCUGCAUUAGCUAGUUGGUAAGGUAACGGCUUACCAAGGCAACGAUGCGUAGCCGACCUGAGAGGGUGAUCGGCCACACUGGAACUGAGACACGGUCCAGACUCCUACGGGAGGCAGCAGUAGGGAAUCUUCCGCAAUGGGCGAAAGCCUGACGGAGCAACGCCGCGUGAGUGAUGAAGGUCUUCGGAUCGUAAAACUCUGUUAUUAGGGAAGAACAAAUGUGUAAGUAACUAUGCACGUCUUGACGGUACCUAAUCAGAAAGCCACGGCUAACUACGUG
rnacentral:rRNA from 1 species